CUAAGCCACAGCUAUGCGCACAUCCUCCCCAUCAUAGCCGAAAAUUCCCCGUUCAAGUUCCCGAGACGCGUGACGCGGCGCGAAAAACAUCGCAAAGCACGAUUUUUUUACUAAAAUUUUUUUCUUCGAACUUUACGCGAACUGAUUCAGAAGGUCCUGUUGGCGGCAAGCGGGUAAAGUUGAGUGUUUGUGUGCAUAAUGGAAUGAAAUUGGACAUUAUAAUAGGAUAUUUGUAAUUGAUUUUUAUGUCCAAAAUUUUUAUUUUUAUUUCGCGAUAAAAUAAAGAUGCUGGGGUGUGCUUUAAGGAAAGUGACUUCGAUCUUCCUCUUUGCUAUACAAAUCCAUUUGAGCUCGGCCGACAGCCGGUGCUUAGACAAGUAGACAAGUAAAUGAAUAGUUAAUAUUAAUAAUAAUUCUAUUAUACAUAACAUUGACAAUAUUUGGCCUUAUAUAAGAAAUACAUUUAACUCAAAAUUUAAUAAAAA
rnacentral:misc_RNA from 1 species